rnacentral:rRNA from 1 species
UACAGAGGUCUCAAGCGUUGUUCGGAUUCAUUGGGCGUAAAGGGUGUGUAGGUGGCGCCGUAAGUCGGGUGUGAAAUCGCCCGGCUCAACUGGGCGGGGUCAGCGGAUACGGUCGAGCUUGAGCAAGCUAGGGGGCAAUGGAAUUCCCGGUGUAGUGGUGGAAUGCGUAGAUAUCGGGAGGAACACCAGUGGCGAAGGCGGUUGCCUGGGGCUUUGCUGACGCUGAUGCGCGAAAGCGUGGGGAGCGAUCCGG